rnacentral:rRNA from 1 species
GACGAACGCUGGCGGCGUGCCUAAUACAUGCAAGUCGAGCGAACAGACGAGGAGCUUGCUCCUCUGACGUUAGCGGCGGACGGGUGAGUAACACGUGGAUAACCUACCUAUAAGACUGGGAUAACUUCGGGAAACCGGAGCUAAUACCGGAUAAUAUACUGAAGCGCAUGGUUCAAUAGUGAAAGACGGUUUUGGUGUCACUAAUAGAUGGAUCCGCGCCGCAUUAGGUAGUUGGUAAGGUAACGGCUUACCAAGGCAACGAUGCGUAGACGACCUCAGAGGGUGGUCGGCCACACGGGAACUUAAACGCGGACCAGGCUCCUACGGGAGGCAGCAGUAGGGAAUCUUCCGCAAUGGGCGAAAGCCUGGCGGAGCAACGCCACGUGAGUGAUGGAAGUCUUCGGAUCGUAAAACUCUGUUAUUAGGGAAGAACAAAUGUGUAAGUAACUAUGCACGUCUUGACGGUACCUAAUCAGAAAGCCACGGCUAACUACGUG